rnacentral:rRNA from 1 species
UACAGAGGUCUCGAGCGUUAGGCGGAAUCACUGGGCUUAAAGCGUGUGUAGGCGGGUCGGUAAGUUCCUUGUGAAAUCCCACGGCUCAACCGUGGAACUGCUGGGUAUACUGCCGAUCUUGUGCAACCUAGGGGCGAGCGGAACAGAUGGUGGAGCGGUGAAAUGCGUAGAUAUCAUCUGGAACGCCAAUGGUGAAAACAGCUCGCUGGGGGUUUGCAGACGCUGAGACACGAAAGCCAGGGGAGCGAACGGG